GUUGAACGCUGGCGGCAUGCCUUACACAUGCAAGUCGAACGGCAGCCCGUGUGCUUGCCCCUGGUGGCGAGUGGCGAACGGGUGAGUAAUACAUCGGCACAUGUCCUGUAGUGGGGGAUCGCCCGGCGAAAGCCGGAUUAAUACCGCAUACGCACUACGGCUGAAAUCGGGGGACCUUCGGGCCUCGCGCUCUGGGGUUGGCCGAUGGCUGAUUAGGUAGUUGGUGGGGUAAAGGCCUCCUAAGGCGGCGGUAAGUAGCUGGUAAGGGGGGACGACCAGCCACGCCGGGAAGGAGGGACGGCCACGAGUCCACUGGGAGGCAGCAGUUGGGAAUUUGGGAGGAAGGGCGAGAGAAUGAUGGAGCAAGGCGGCGUGUGUGAAGAAGGCAUUCGGGUUGUAAAGCACUUGUGUCCGGAAAGAAAAGUUUGGUCCGAAGACGGGCGGGAGAUGACGGUACCGGAAGAAGAAGCACCGGCUAACUACGUG
rnacentral:rRNA from 1 species